rnacentral:rRNA from 1 species
AUUGAACGCUGGCGGCAUGCCUAACACAUGCAAGUCGAGCGAGCGGCGGACGGGUGAGUAAUGUCUGGGAAACUGCCUGAUGGAGGGGGAUAACUACUGGAAACGGUAGCUACUACCGCAUACCAUCAGAUGUGCCCAGAUGGGAUAAGCUGGUAGGUGGGGUAACGGCUCACCUAGGCGACGUUCCCUAGCUGGUCUGAGAGGAUGACCAGCCACACUGGAACUAGGACACGGACAAGACUCCUACGGGAGGCAGCAGUGGGGAACAUUCCACAAUGGGCGAAAUCCUGAUGCAGACAUGCCGCGUGUGUGAAGAAGGCCUUCGGGUUGUAAAGUCCUUUCAGCGGGGAGGCGGUACCCGCAGAAGAAGCAACGGCUAACUCCGUGCCAGCCGCCGCGGUAAUUC